rnacentral:rRNA from 1 species
UACGUAGGGUGCGAGCGUUGUCCGGAAUUACUGGGCGUAAAGAGCUCGUAGGUGGUUUGUCGCGUUGUUCGUGAAAACCGGGGGCUUAACCCUCGGCGUGCGGGCGAUACGGGCAGACUGGAGUACUGCAGGGGAGACUGGAAUUCCUGGUGUAGCGGUGGAAUGCGCAGAUAUCAGGAGGAACACCGGUGGCGAAGGCGGGUCUCUGGGCAGUAACUGACGCUGAGGAGCGAAAGCCAGGGGAGCAAACGGG